rnacentral:rRNA from 1 species
AAUAGAUACCCUGGUAGUCCACGCCGUAAACGAUGAGUGCUAAGUGUUAGAGGGUUUCCGCCCUUUAGUGCUGCAGCUAACGCAUUAAGCACUCCGCCUGGGGAGUACGGUCGCAAGACUGAAACUCAAAGGAAUUGACGGGGGCCCGCACAAGCGGUGGAGCAUGUGGUUUAAUUCGAAGCAACGCGAAGAACCUUACCAGGUCUUGACAUCCCACUGACCGGUAUAGAGAUAUACCUUUCCCUUCGGGGACAGUGGUGACAGGUGGUGCAUGGUUGUCGUCAGCUCGUGUCGUGAGAUGUUGGGUUAAGUCCCGCAACGAGCGCAACCCUUGAUCUUAGUUGCCAGCAUUUAGUUGGGCACUCUAAGGUGACUGCCGGUGACAAACCGGAGGAAGGUGGGGAUGACGUCAAAUCAUCAUGCCCCUUAUGACCUGGGCUACACACGUGCUACAAUGGAUGGUACAAAGGGCUGCAAGACUGCGAAGUCAAGCCAAUCCCAUAAAACCAUUCUUAGUUCGGAUUGCAGG